rnacentral:tRNA from 1 species
AUUAGAAUCUGCUACAUAAGCAAUUGGGCCCAUACCCCAAAAACGAUGUCACCAUCUUCUAGUA